rnacentral:lncRNA from 1 species
UGAGGCAAGCCAGUAAAGAACAUCCCUCCAUGGCCUCUGCAUCAGCUCCUGCUUCCUGACCUGCUUGAGUUCCAGUCCUGGCUUCCUUGGUGAUGAACAGCAGUAUGGAAGUGUAAGCCGAAUAAACCCUUUCCUCCCCAACUUGUUUCUUGGUCCUGAGGUUUGUGCAGGAAUAGAAACCCUGACUAAGACAAAUUGGUACCAGCAGAGUGGGGUAUUCCUGUGACAACCUGACCAUGUUUUGGGGAGGUCUGUGGAAGGACUUUGGAAUUUUGGGCUUGAAGAUCCAUUCGUUGUUAAGAGCUCUGUCAGAUGUUUUGUAGGAGCUUGGAAGAUAAUGUUGAGAACAGUGCAGAAGAUGGAGGCCUGGCUUGUGAAAUUUCAGAGGGAAAAUUAAAGACUCUUUUCAGGGCCAUUCCUGUUUUGAUUGUGAAGAUUCUGUAGUUCUGGUUAGCUGGGGCUGAAGAAUCAGCUGUGAUUAACAAGAUACCAGAACUACUAAAGCAAAAACUUUGCAUUACUGGGACUAUUGAUGCUGGUUAGCUGGAGCUAAGAAAUUAGCGGUGAUUAAGAAGAGACCAGCAUCAUUGAGGUGACAUUUUCUGGGAAGUGUUUUCUGAGAGCACAGUGGCUGUGUUCCAGAUAUAGCCAAAGUUGUACAUUGUGCUGUGGCUGGACUUGGUAAUGUGUAAGGGUCACCCAGGUGGUACUGGUUUUGAAGGCAUGAAGGAGUUGAGCAGAGCAGCUGAGGCUUGGCACUGUGAGAGGCCAUGGAAGGCCAUUGGUGAAAGUGCAGCCUCAGUUGCAAUUGAUGGCCCAGGACUGAAGGGGUCAUGCAGUGUUUUGGAGAUGCCAGUACCAUGAGAUGACCACCAAGAGCAGCAGCAGCAGUGGAUUACAGGCAUCUGGAGCCUAGAGGAUGACGCGUGUGCUACAAAGGGCAUGGCUGGAGAAGUGACCCAAGCCCUUGGAGGAGCCCAGAAGAUCGUGAGUUGGAUCCCAGACAUUGGACGGUUGGAGAUUGACUUUUGCUUUUGAUUGUGACUGUGCCCUGAUAUUUUCCCUCUUGAAGGAAGAAACUGUUUUAGUGGAGCCCACAGUUAAGAGACUUUUAAUUGUAAAAAGUCUUUGGAUUUUAAGAGAGAUGGAUAUUUUAAAGAGAUUGAAAUUUUAAGAAUAUGUAAAGACUGUGGGACUUUUAAAGUUAUUUAGAUCUUGGGGAUGAAUAAGAUUGUAAGGGUUGAGGCUUACUAGUGAUGUUUUUGUGUGUCAAGUUGACAAGGGGUCAAUUGUACUGGCUAGUUUUGUGUCAACUUGACACAGCUGGAGUUAUCAUAGAGAAAGGAGCUUCAGUUGAGGAAAUGCCUCCAUGAGAUACAACUGUAAGGCAUUUUCUCAAUUAGUGAUCAAGGGGGAAAGGCCCCUUGUGGGUGGGACCAUCUCUGGGCUGGUAGUCUUGGGUUCUAUAAGAAAGCAGGCUGAGCAAGCCAGGUGAGGCAAGCCAGUAAAGAACAUCCCUCCAUGGCCUCUGCAUCAGCUCCUGCUUCCUGACCUGCUUGAGUUCCAGUCCUGGCUUCCUUGGUGAUGAACAGCAGUAUGGAAGUGUAAGCCGAAUAAACCCUUUCCUCCCCAACUUGUUUCUUGGUCCUG